GUAGUGGGAGGUUAAUAUUUGGGGCUACCAACUGCUUGGACUAACACAAAAUGCUUCCAGGUCAUAGCCAACAACCCACAAUGCUGAAAACCCUAAAUGAACUGACUUGUCAUCCAAGAGAGGCCUUGAGGCAUGCAGGUUGAGGGUGGAGACUGAUCUGACUUGAUACCAGCCUAUAUGUUUCAUCUAAGAUUGACCAAAGAAACAGGAAUCCCAAGUGUGGUCCUGGCCUGCUCUGCCUUAAACAGCAAUUGAUGCUGAUUGUGUUGUUAAUUCUAAAUCUGAACUUGACAGGUUUACUGUUACGCAAAGAUAACCAGGUGUAAGAGACAAACCCAUGAUUAUUAGACUUAAGAUGCAAAUCUACCACAACCUCACUGAAUUGUGGAACAUCAUCAAGUAGGUAAAUAGCCUCUGGCUGUUGCCAAGAGCAAUAUUCCAUGAAGGUGUGUGCACAAAGAGGUUUCCCAGACUUCUUCAGGGAAGGAAGGUCUGGCAGAUGAUUUCCAUGAACACUUAAAAUUAUUAAUUAUGUAAAGGAAGACUCUCAUUUGUAUUUAAUGGUCCCUUGACAGACCCAUUUUUCCUGUUAGCUCAAAUACUGGGUUGAACAAUGGCAAAAGACCAAACACAAGAAGUUAUUGUUACACUGUAUCACACAGGGAAUAGCAACUUCAGAAACACAAGUUAUAGUGAUACCCAGAAGGUUAUUUACUUUCUUUUGUAUUUUUUAACUUGUGGUUUCGAAUUGAUUGAAUAUAUUUGUAACUUUCACUCAUGCUUGCAGCCUAAUUGAUGUUGCAAAUUGAGUGGCUGAGCUAGCUGAUAAGUAGGGGCAUGAGCAGAAGAAAAAGAUUAAAGAGCAAGAGAGAGAGAAGACGAGUGAGAGUGGGGGAUGGCCUACGGGAGAGACAAAGUAGGAUUGGAUGUGAAAGGAAAAAUACAUUUAAAAGAGUGAGUGAAACAGGAAAUAAAAUGCCACUCCAUCAGCCACCUUAAACAUUCACCCCAUCCCUUCCGUCAAUAGUGCAGCAGCAAUAUGUCUUUCUCUCUGAGCAGUGUGUACCACCUCCAUUGCAUAGCAACGACUUGUUAAAGUUCCAUUGACAGCACCUUCCAAAUCUCCAUCAGCAAGAUGGGCAAAGGCAGUAAGUACAAUGCAACAUUACUGUCUGCACAGUCCUCUCUGGGUGACACGCUAUCCUAACUUGGAACUACACUGUUGUUCCUUCACUGUCCCUGGGACAGAUUCCUGGCACUCCCUUCCUGGGUGUAACUAAUUCAUACGGACUACAGUGCUUCAAGAAGGCAACUCAUCGCCUCCUUCUCAGGGAUAUGGGCAAUAAGCAGUGAAACCCCAUCCUACAAGUCAAUAAAGAGAAGUAGAAUGAAUUGUUAGAAAAGUGGUAGGAGAAACAAACAAAUUACAUCAAAACAAGAUAAUAAUAAGAUAUAAGAAUAAAGAGGCCAUUUUAUACAACAUGUUCAGGAUGAAUGACAUUCACUUCAUUUUUUUUAAUGUCUAUCUUUAUGGACUGAAAAGAUGUAUAUAAAGAACAGUAAAUUUGUGUCCCUUGGUUUUUAAGCUCAAAAUGUGUCUAACCCCCAAUGCAAAUAAUUUUGGCUUUACUUCCCAUGCCUUCAGUAAUGCACACUCCUUCUUAACAAGUUUUGCAAAUAAGGAGCACUCCAGCACAUGGUAAAAACAAGGAAUGCUGUGAUAAAAACUUCAAGGGAAUUCUAUACAAAGUGACCAUUACGACAGACAAAAAGGUGUAGAUCGAUGGGUGACACAUUGGAGGUAUUGGUAAAGUGAAGAACUGACAGGCAGUCUACAAGACCCUCAAGUAGAAAGGAUUGGAAGCAGAUGGCCAGAGAGGUCAGCUCCUAGAAUCUGGAUCCAAGAACCAUACAGCAGUGCCAGAAGAUGCCAAAUGGCUUCACUUCGGCAGUCAAUGGCAGUGAAUGUAUCUCACCUGUUAUCUCAUAGCCACCAGAGCACCAGCCUCCCAUGGUGCUCAAUCAUCCCACUCCAAUACUACCCCAGCAGCUAUCCCAAACAUCCAGGUAUUCUACCUCAUCCUUACAUAUGUACUAACACUAUCAAUCCCACACCCAGCUCCCACUACCUUCAUAUAUCUCCAACUAAUCAGUUAUAACAAGCACAUCACUCAAACACAAGGCAAUAUGAUCACUGACAUUCUUCCCUCCCUCUGUAUCUUGCAGGACAAUGCAGCACACAAUAGAAGGCAGCAGAGCAAAACCAUGCUUACACCUACAGAGAAGGUGGCUCACUGCAUCGUGCUGCUGCGUGCAAAGGUCACUAAGAACAUUGAGGGUGUUUGUCUUACACCCUUCUCAACUUCAACCUGCCUAGUGAACAUGUUCCUGCUGCUAUUACUAUGAACCACUUACCUUGCACACCAUCCCAAUCACACUGUCAUUUCCAUUUUGAUUUCCUGCUUCAGAUAUGCAAGAACUGCUGGCUACACAAGAUCAGGAGAGUGAAUGGGCUAUAACUGGGCCAGAGGUAAAGGAUGGUGCAUUUCCCAGUGCUCUGGAGGAUGAAGUGAAGACCAAGAACACUUAAAUGAUGUCUUCAAUGGAGUGACAUCAAGCAGAAUAUCAUUUUGAAGUCAAGGGAGAGUGCAAGAACGUUUCAACAUCUGUCAAGAACCAUUCAAGGUCAGUCUGAAACACAACAUAGAAGAGUUGGAAAAGAAGAAAGUAAUCAAGAAAGUGACAACUUUGAGCGAAUGGAUGAGCAACGUGAUACAGGGCUGCACUGCUGCCUCACAGCACUAGAGACCUGGGUUCAACUCCAACCUUGGCCCAAUCUUGCCGCAAGGUGUUCCGGGAAGAACUUGCUACACAAUGGAUAUCCACGGAAAAACCAGCAAUCUGAUUGCCCGUGUCAUAUUUAACAGGCGGCUGUGUACUUGGAUAGGAACUGGCAUUCCUAAGCUGCACUGAUCAGUCAAUACCUUUCCAGAAAAUGCCAGAGUAAGGGAAAAUUGUACCAUGAUUCUCCAACAGAGAGCUGAGGUCCUAGUUCAGGGGCUACUGCAGAGGACCACUAACUCAGAACAUCAUGCAAAACUGUAUAACUGUACUUACAAUAAAAUCAUAAAUGCUUACAGAUUCUGAACUAGAUGGUGUAGUGUCUUCCACACUAUAGCAAUGUGAAUGAUUCUACGUAUACACAUUUAUUUAAAUUUUAACUAAGUUUCAUCUAGUCAAGUCUUAACAGGAAAAUUAUUC